rnacentral:lncRNA from 1 species
GGGGGUGCGGGGGAAAAAUGAGAGGGGGAGGGGCUCUUUAAAGUGACGCGAGAGACAGGCUUAAACACACGCCCUAAAUUGCGAAUUGAAGACGAGGCUUAAUGGAGGCGCUCCCUAGAUUCCCGGCCAGAGCUUGAAGACGACCUGACAGGUGGGUCCGACCUAUCAUUGUCUGUUGGCGGCGGGCGGCAGCUAGCUGGGCUGGCUCGCGGGCGCGCGCGGGAUUGACUGGGCCGGUUCGGCCCUAGUUGGCCCGACCGGUCCGUUUUCCUGUUUUUUUGUUCUUUUUUUUUCUUUUUCUUUUUCUGUUUUUCCUUUAUAACUUUUGAUUUUGAACUCCAAAUGGACUCAAAUAAAUUCCAAAAAAAUUGUAAAAUCAUAUCUUUUAAUGCCAUAGCAUCUGGGACUUGAUUUCUUCCAAAAGUAAAUUAUUAAAAAUAGUUUUUUUCAUAUAAUUGUCUCUAGUGCAAUAAUAUUUAGAAACAAAAUAGGUUUUCAACUCCAAAAUUAAUUCCAAAAAUUAUGGGGUAGCUCAUCUUAUGGCUUUAAACCCCUUUAUAUUGUUUUCAAAUUCCAAAAGAUGCAAAGUAAAAAUUUAAAAGGGCAACAGGCUUGAUAAAAGGUUUUAAAAUUUAAAACUUUGGUUUAAAGGUGCUCAAAGUGCAUAAAUGGUAUGAUGCUCAUGAGUGCAAAUGCAUGAUGCAAAGUUUGGGAAAAUUGGGAUGUUACAGACUUGAUGCUGUCGAUCGAGCAGAUCAAACAGGCCAAGAGGUACUUCAUUUGCUGCCGUGACAGGUUAGCUUCGACUCAUCGAGCCAUAAUGGCCAAGGACAACUUUGUUGCGGAUGAGCUGUCCAAGCCCCGCCCCCCCCAGCAACUCAAGGAGACCCCGCAACCGCGGGGCACCAUGCUACUGAUCUUGUGGCAUGUUUGAGCGGGUACCACCACCUUGGGAUGCGGGUUUUACCCGCUACCUCAAGGAUGGGACCCUUCCGAGAGAAGACAUUGCCGCAGAGCGAGUGGCCCGACAAGCAAAGAUGUACAC